ACCUACGUGGCUUAAUCAGGAAGAGGUGCGUCGAAAGGUCUUCUAUCAGAGUCAUUGGAUUGUGGCCAAGUGGCAUCGAUCCGACGGCAAAUCUAAUUGAUCUGGAUCGUUGACGUGCACUAUAAAAAAAUCUGUAUUUUGCUUGAAAACCACUUGUUUCUUUGCACGAAAGUCAUGUCAAGAUUUUUCCAGAUCUUUCCCAACAUCACCAAUGUUGGAGAAGCAAUUUUUUGGUGUCAC
rnacentral:lncRNA from 1 species